rnacentral:rRNA from 1 species
AUGGCCAAUAGAGUGGAUACCCUUCUCCAAAGGUAUUGUGCAGCAUCAGGGCAGCGCAUCAACAAGGAGAAAUCCUCCAUUUUCUUCAGCAAGGGCUGCUCCGAGUCCUCGAGGCAAGAAAUCAAACAACUCCUCCAAGUACAAAAUGAGAAGCUCUCCGAGAAGUACCUCGGGCUCCCUACCGAUGUGGGAAGAGCAAAGGAGGGUUCUUUUAAAUAUUUGAAGGACAGGAUAUGGAAGCAAGUA